rnacentral:hammerhead_ribozyme from 1 species
GUCCAGCUGAUUCAUCCCAAAUAGGAUGAAACGCACGUCCUGGAU